rnacentral:misc_RNA from 1 species
UUGAAAUCCUUAGGAUGUUGCUGGCCUUUCGGGGCAUGUGCACUCCGCCUUUUCAUCUCACCUGUGAACAUAUUGUAGGCCAGAUGUUACAGUCUGUGUCUAUGUUAUUUUUCUUUACACACACAAGUUUAUUAGAAUGUCUAAUGAAGGCCUUUACUGGUCAAAAUUUAAUA